CAUUCAUCGACCUUUGUCGCUCCUGUAGUUCGCGAGAGCGGCGCCAUGGCGAGGGAUGACGACCCUUCUUGCUUUGCGAGAGGGAUGGCAAAUGGUGCGUUUCUCCUCUUCUCUCGAUUCGGUUCGGUUCUUUGCCCUAUACGUUCUUCAUUUGUAGCAUUUUUCCCCAUUCCAUGCUAUGGAGUUCGAUGCUUGAGUCCUUUUCUGAGUGAAUCAUUUGGUCAAAGACGUGGCAUCUUCGAGGAGAAAUCGUUCUGCUCGUAGAUCAGUAGCUUCAUCUUAAAGUCGAUCUUUCUCUAUUCUGCCAAAACGAAUUUACACUCUGGAAACAGUGAGAUUGGAUAUAAUGGGAUUGGUUGCUGAUAAUGCGGGCGAUGUCCGGUGAAUGAGACGGAUCUAGGUGCAAGAUGCAUCUCAACAAAACAAAAGGAUGCUAAUGGGAUUGGUCGCUAGUUGCCCCUAAACUUUCCCUCAAAUGGCCAUGAGAUCCUCGUACUUUUCAAGUUCUGCAGAUUUACUCAAAUUUGUGCUCGUCACUUUUGAAGUAUAUUCUAGUAAGAAAGAGGUUUCACUAUGUGUGUGAUUUUUGGAUCUUAGCCAUGCGUUAAUCUCUCACAAAUACAAUCUGGGUGGCCUUGAACGUAGACGUUGAAGAAGUAGCCUAACAAGAGUAUAUUGUCUAAACUGGAAAAAAAAAGGGUCUAUUUCUUGAUAUCAGGGAAAAGAAAAUAUUCAUGUUAAGAUUACUCACAAUAUUUCUUGAUUUUAGAAAAGAAAAAUUUAUGUUAUUCACACUAUUUCUUGAUGGAAACAUUCAUGUUAAGAUGACUCCCACUUAGCAACUGUUACCUUACUCGUACAAUGAAUUUCCUAAGUGCAUAUAUUCUUCACCAUAGAUCUUGAUUGUAGCUAAAAUUUAUCGAACUAUUUUCUUCUGGUAUGAUGCAAAAUUAGCCAAAUCAGACAUUUAUGUGCUCCUAUAGGCUUUCUCUCUAAGCUUUGCAUAUAAGUGGUGCUUUUGGUGAAAAUUCCUGUCUUGGGAAUUUUUGCUAAGCAUACAAGGAGAGAAACCUUUUGUCGAAGCACAUAUCUCUGAUGAUAACAGCGAGAUUGGUUACCUGCUGACCGGAUAUUUUCUGUACUUUUUCCCCGAGUCAAGAAGCAAAGGGCCAUUUCCUUUUCAAGGGAUUUAUGAGAGAGAGCUUCAUCUCUGCUCAGUUGAAUUCGGACAAGUGGUCUUUGCUUGAUCAAUAGGCUUAUGGUUAUAGUUUCUUCUUUCCUGAGGUAGCUUUAUCAGUCAUCUCACAUGCGCAUUUUGUUGUUUUGCAGAUUUUGAACCAGUUUGAGUGGUUUUUGACCAUUUUGUUGUUGUUUUAACUUUUAAGUGAUCGACAUGGUUUCUAGAAUCAAUCGUCUUAUUUCUUCUAUAAACGAACUUUAUUAUUACAAAUCCUUUAUUCAAAUCUUAUCCACCAUGAGCGUGAGCUUUUCCAGCCAACUGAGUAGUCCAAGGGGUUUUCACUAAAUUCAUGGAGAAGUCCCAAACUGUGUUAACUAUAUACAAUUGAACUAUCACAUACAUAAUGAGCAGAUAUCAAUUCUUUUUAGAUGUAAUAUAGAAGAGACUAAAGAAAGAUUGACAGUUGAGUGGUUUUUGACUAUUUUGUUGUUGUUUUAACUUUUAAGUGAUCGGCAUGGUUUCUAGAAUCAAUCAUUUUAUUUCUUCAAUAAACGAACUUUAUUAUUGCAAAUCCUUGAUUUAAAUCUUAUCCACCAUGAGCGUGAGCUUCUCCAGCCAACUGAAUAGUCCAAGGGGUUUUCAUUAAAUUCAUGGAGAAGUCCCAAACAGUGUGUUAACUAUAUACAAUUGAACUAUCACAUACAUAAUGAGUAGAUAUCAAUUCUUUUUAGAUGUAAUAUAGAAGAGACUAAAGAAAGAUUGACAGUUGAGUGGUUUUUGACCAUUUUGUUGUUGUUUUAACUUUUAAGUGAUCGACAUGGUUUCUAGAAUCAAUCAUUUUAUUUCUUCAAUAAACGAACUUUAUUAUUGCAAAUCCUUGAUUCAAAUCUUAUCCACCAUGAGCGUGAGCUUGUCCAGCCAACAGAGUAGUCCAAGGCGUUUUCAUUAAAUUCAUGGAGAAAUCCCAAACAGUGUGUUAACUAUAUACAAUUGAACUAUCACAUACAUAAUGAGUAGAUAUUAAUUCUUUUUAGAUGUAAUAUAGAAGAGACUAAGGCAAAGAUUAGCAUGUGAUUAUUUUUAUUUAUUCCUAUUGAAAAAAUGAUGUAUGACAGAACUACAGUUUUCAGGAGACGUACAUAAGCAAAUUUAUGAUGGAUAAAUAUGUAAGUGUCAAGCUUAUGGGGUAUUACAGAUGGCAAGAAUGCUGUGAAGGUAUCCAUUUGUGAUUGUAUCAAUAUUGAUUCUGGUGUAUAUAUAUGUAUCAAGUUAAUCGAGUGCCACUGUUCUUUUGCUUCCUCAAAAUGAUUUUAUUUACUUUCAUUAAAUGUCAGAUGAGAUAUUGUUGGUGUAAAUUUUAAUCAAAUGGUUCACUUACGUUGUUUCUAUAUAAGUGGGGGCUUUGUGUA